ensembl:snoRNA
GCCCUUUUGUGGCUCAUAAACUAGUGACCCGGUUGUCAGGCUGGUGUGAGAUGUGCCUCCCUCCACCCGCCUUACAACUUGGACACCUUACCCUUCUGAUG